rnacentral:rRNA from 1 species
AGACCGAUAGCGAACAAGUAGAGUGAUCGAAAGAUGAAAAGCACUUUGAAAAGAGAGUUAAACAGCACGUGAAAUUGUUGAAAGGGAAGCGCUUGCGACCAGACUCGGCCCCGGGGUUCAGCCAGCACUCGUGCUGGUGUACUUCCCCGGGGGCGGGCCAGCGUCGGUUUGGGCGGCCGGUCAAAGGCCCCAGGAAUGUAUCCCCUCCGGGGUUGUCUUAUAGCCUGGGGUGCAAUGCGGCCAGCCCGGACCGAGGAACGCGCUUCGGCACGGACGCUGGCGUAAUGGUCNCAAACAACCCGUCUUGAAACACGGACCAAG